GAUGAAGAACGUAGCGAAAUGCGAUAAGUAAUGUGAAUUGCAGAGUUCAGUGAAUCAUCGAAUCUUUGAACGCACAUUGCGCCCACUGGUAUUCCGGUGGGCAUGCCUGUUCGAGCGUCAUUAUCCUCCCUCAAACCCCGGGUUUGGUGUUGGACCCAAGUUGUGUGAACAACUGGUCUCAAAGACAAUGACGGCGUCCGUGGGACCCUCGGUGCAACGAGCUUUUAGGAGCACGCAUCGAGUUGCAAGGACCUUCCGGGCCGGUCUCCUUUACCAUUUUACAAGGUUGACCUCGGAUCAGGUAGGAAUACCCGCUGAACUUAAGCAUAUCAAUAAGCGGAGGA
rnacentral:misc_RNA from 1 species